AGAGUUGUGGUGGUACAGACCCAGACGUGACAUUUUUUGUGGCCACCAAGGCAGCAGUCCCAGCAAAGAUUACCUGGACUUUCUAAGGCUCACGACCCUGAUUCUCUGGCUGUGACAUUUGGUGGCACUGAGAAGAGCUGAUAUAUGGACAUGCAAACACAGUCCUGAUUGCUGGAGAUUGCCCUGCAUUAAUAAUGCCCUGCAUUAUCUCAGGCUUUUUGCAGCUCAGCUGGACCCAGGAGGACCCCAUGUGCCUGCUUUGGAAGCUGCCAUGGGAUGAAGGAUCACAGGAUAAUGCAAUUAAACGGGAUGGAGGGUUUUGCUGAGAGACCUGACAUGCAGCAAUGACACGGCGCAGGAAAGAACAAAACUCCAGUUUCAGGCUGUGGGAGUAGAACCAGAAGCCAAAUUAAAGCAGGAUGGUGGGACUGUUUUCCCCAGUUACCCGCGGCGUGCAGCGCUCUCACAUUUGUUAAUCACAACGCGCAAUUACAGGGGAAAAGCUGCGGGUGUCUCACUUGAACCAGGGAAACGCUUCGGGGCCAGCAGGGCUUCCACACCGAGAGGUUUCAGGCUGAAGUGGAAAGAGGGAACUCUUUUCGUGGGGCAGCAGCAGCUGUUUCAAAGCUCUCAUUGGCCUGAGCUGGGUGACAAAGGGUGGGCAGCACCAGGGGUACCCGGGCUGUGGGACAGAGGAACUCCCAGUGAAACCAGCGGGGCUCUGCUGUUCUCUUUCCCUGUCCCUUGGCAGGUAAGGCAGCUCUGCAGGGCAGAUUGCUCUGUCUCUACACCCCUGAAGCACUUAGAGCCUGAGGCAGUGACCUGCUCUGGAGACUCCCAGACAAAACCCAGAUCCUGCUUGUCUGCAGGGACUUACUGAUCCAGGUUUGCCUGGAACAUAUCCCCAAACAACCGUGUCUCAGGGACUAUCUGAAAAAUUUUGGAAGAAUGACUGGUAAAAAUAAUAAUAAUUUUUUUUCCCUGCCAAGUGGGACAAGGAAAGCCUUUUCAGGGAAAAUUCCUUUCCAGGAAAUAUUUUUGAUGCUUUUAAAAUUUUUCCUCGGGUACUCCUAGCAAGGCCACAUUGCAUUUUCAUGUGAAGGUACCAUUAUGUAAACCACAGCACUCAAACCAUCAGGGUUGCAGCAGGGGUGGCUCACAGCUCCAUUACUUUGUGAGCACUGUGACAUCUCUACAUGCAAAUUGUUACUGCCAGCCUCAUAUUUGAAUUUGUGUGGCUCAUGCAGAGCUGUGGACACAGACCCUGACCCGUGGGGCUGGUGAGGGUGCAGCUGCAAUGGCCACUCACACAGAGAGUUCUGCUCUCUGCCUGAGAAUUGUUUUACCCUCAAAUUAAAGAAUGUCAGAGCAGGUGAAAAAAGGAGUGUAGCAGCUUUGCAGCGGGACAGUGAAGGGCUGGGUGGAAAUGUUUCCUGUCCCCCUCCUGACCUGCUGGUCCUGCAGCCAGGGGGGUGCUGCUGCUGAGGGUCCUGCCCUGCUGCCAUCUGCCAGAGAGCCUAAAGCACGAACUGAAUCCAGCUGAUGGUCUCCUGCAUCACAUCCAAAGCUCUUUAGCUCACAGUCAGGGCUCUGAAUACGUGCAUGCAAGUGUUUGUGGAUACCCUGGACUGAUAAGGAUCUCUGGCUCAUCCAGGGCACCCACAAAUAUUUGCAUGAAUGUAUUCAGAGUGGGCAAACAUUUAUGAAUACCUCGAAUAAGUGAGAAGCCUUGGAGGAUGAAGGGAUUGCAAAUCCCCUCUGUAUUCCUUCCACAAGCACCAGUGAGCAGAGUAAUUACUCCACAGCGUGUGAUGGAGAAGAGGCAGUUCAUCCCCCCGUGUCAAAGCUCUGCAAGCAAACUGCCCCCAGUGGGGCAGUGAGUGGAGCUGUCCCCUGUCACUGGGGACACAAAGGAGCCCUGUGCUGCCACAGCUCAUGGUGUGCCAACUGUUGCAGCUACAUACAUUGAUCUGCUUCCAGCAGAUGACACCACCAAGGUGUCUCCCAAUCCAAAAAGUGGAGCUGCCCCCCUGGCUGCCCUUCCCCUGCCAUGUGUGGGCUGAAAGCUGUUCAGGGCAGCUGUGGCUUCUUGCUGGGAACAUUUGCUCAGCUUUGGCUGAAAGGAAUCCUGCUGUUUCCAGGAGCUCUUGCCAAACUUGCUGGUCCCGGGCUGUCUGAAGGCAGAGCAUCCCUCUCCUGACACAAACAGUGAGGAAAUUUGGGUCUCCUCAGAUCUCCAGGGCUGCAGCCCAUCUCCAGCCACACUGAGGAAGCCAAGAGGCACAGGAUUUAUUGGGAGGGAUUUUUUAUUGCAGUUUCCCACACUGUCUUUCUUAAACUGUUUGUUCAUUGUGUUGACUUAAUUGACCUUUCACCUUGCUGAGCUGAAGCCCUGAACGUUUUCGUGUCAGGGAUGCCUGUCAGUCACAAGGGCAGUGAUCUGCCUGCUCCAAAUAGGCCGAGUGACGGCUCCUGCGUGGCUGCUGAUCUCCUCUAAUUGCUGCCACGUCAGCAGCCACAUCAGGCUGCCUGAGAUGACGGUGGGACACUCUGUAAUCCCUGCAAAUUCCCCUCUCACCCGAGC